GACUGCAUGUCUGGGGUGUGUUGACUGGCCAAGGUGAAGCUGAGAAGUACCGUAAGAACUCGAUCAAGAUAAUACUUGCGUGAGGAACGUGCUGCCGCUACUC
rnacentral:ncRNA from 17 species